rnacentral:rRNA from 1 species
GACGAACGCUGGCGGCGUGCUUAACACAUGCAAGUCGAACGGAGGUCGCAAGACCUCAGUGGCGCACGGGUGCGUAACACGUGAGAAAUUUGUCCAUCGGCGGGGGAUAGCCGGCCCAACGGCCGGGUAAUACCGCGUACGACCUUCGGGGGGCAUCCCCUGGAGGUGAAAGCCGCAAGGCGCCGGUGGAGAAUCUCGCGGCCUAUCAGCUAGUUGGUGAGGUAAUGGCUCACCAAGGCAACGACGGGUAGCUGGUCCGAGAGGAUGACCAGCCACAUUGGGACUGAGACACGGCCCAGACUCCUACGGGAGGCAGCAGUGGGGAAUAUUGCGCAAUGGGCGAAAGCCUGACGCAGCGACGCCGCGUGUGGGAUGAAGGUCUUCGGAUCGUAAACCACUGUCGGGGGGGACGAACUCAAUGACGGUACCCCCAAAGGAAGCACCGGCUAACUCUGUGCCAGCAGCCGCGGUAAUACAGAGGGUGCGAGCGUUGUCCGGAAUCACUGGGCGUAAAGGGCGCGUAGGCGGCCUGAUAAGUAGGGGGUGAAAUCUUGCGGCUCAACCGCAAGGCUGCCUCCUAGACUGUCAGGCUUGAGCACGGCAGAGGCUGGUGGAAUUCCCGGUGUAGCGGUGGAAUGCGUAGAGAUCGGGAAGAACAUCGGUGGCGAAGGCGGCCAGCUGGGCCGUUGCUGACGCUGAGGCGCGACAGCGUGGGGAGCAAACAGGAUAANAUACCCUGGUAGUCCACGCCGUAAACGAUGGGUACUAGGCGUCGGGGGGAGCGACCCCUUCGGUGCCGUCGCUAACGCAAUAAGUACCCCGCCUGG